AUUGAACGCUGGCGGCAUGCUUUACACAUGCAAGUCGAACGGUAACAGGUUAAGCUGACGAGUGGCGAACGGAUGAGUAAUGCAUCGGAACGUGCCCAGUCGUGGGGGAUAACGCAGCGAAAGCUGUGCUAAUACCGCAUACGAUCUAUGGAUGAAAGCGGGGACCGUAAGGCCUCGCGCGAUUUGGAGCGGCCGAUGUCAGAUUAGCUAGUUGGUGGGUAAAGGCCCACCAAGGCGACGAUCUGUAGCUGGUCUGAGAGGACGACCAGCCACACUGGAACUGAGACACGGUCCAGACUCCUACGGGAGGCAGCAGUGGGGAAUUUUGGACAAUGGGCGCAAGCCUGAUCCAGCAAUGCCGCGUGCAGGAAGAAGGGCCUUC
rnacentral:rRNA from 1 species